GUGAAUCAUCGAAUUUUUGAACGCAUAUUGCACUCUCUGGUAUUCCGGAGAGUAUGCCUGUUUGAGGGUAAUUAAAAAGAAUCUUUAACCAAUUUUUUUUGGUCAAAGGAAAUGAGUUCUCCGCGUUUAUAUCGGUAGCUUGAAAUAAAUGGUAGUCUCAUUUUAGUCGAGACGCGUACUAAUAUUAUUUCGCGAAUUCAUUGUUAUGUGACUAUUCAGUUUUGAUUCCUUCAAAUUU
rnacentral:misc_RNA from 1 species